rnacentral:rRNA from 1 species
GAUGAACGCUGGCGGCGUGCCUAAUACAUGCAAGUCGAGCGAACAGACGAGGAGCUUGCUCCUCUGACGUUAGCGGCGGACGGGUGAGUAACACGUGGAUAACCUACCUAUAAGACUGGGAUAACUUCGGGAAACCGGAGCUAAUACCGGAUAAUAUAUUGAACCGCAUGGUUCAAUAGUGAAAGACGGUUUUGCUGUCACUUAUAGAUGGAUCCGCGCCGCAUUAGCUAGUUGGUAAGGUAACGGCUUACCAAGGCAACGAUGCGUAGCCGGCCUGAGAGGGUGAUCGGCCACACUGGAACUGAGACACGGUCCAGACUCCUACGGGAGGCAGCAGUAGGGAAUCUUCCGCAAAGGGCGAAAGCUUGACGGAGCAACGCCGCGUGAGUGAUGAAGGUCUUCGGAUCGUAAAACUCUGUUAUUAGGGAAGAACAAAUGUGUAAGUAACUAUGCACGUCUUGACGGUACCUAAUCAGAAAGCCACGGCUAACUACGUG